AACGAACGCUGGCGGCAGGCUUAACACAUGCAAGUCGAACGCGUGUAGCAAUACACGAGUGGCGCACGGGUGAGUAACGCGUGGAUAUCUGCCUUUUGGUUCGGAAUAACUCCGGGAAACUGGAGCUAAUACCGGAUGGUUCCUACGGGAUAAAGAUUUAUCGCCAAAAGAUGAGUCCGCGUACGAUUAGCUAGUUGGUGAGGUAACGGCUCACCAAGGCGACGAUCGUUAGCUGGUCUGAGAGGACGAUCAGCCACACUGGGACUGAGACACGGCCCAGACUCCUACGGGAGGCAGCAGUGGGGAAUAUUGGACAAUGGGGGCAACCCUGAUCCAGCCAUGCCGCGUGAGUGAUGAAGGCCUUCGGGUUGUAAAGCUCUUUUGGCGGGGACGAUGAUGACGGUACCCGCAGAAUAAGCCCCGGCUAACUUCGUGCCAGCAGCCGCGGUAAU
rnacentral:rRNA from 1 species